GUUACAACUUACAAAACAUUGUCCGUAGUUCAGUGGUGAAACAAGCGUUGUGCGUUUUGCGGAGGUCUCACGUUCGAUUCUUUUCCCCUUCUUUUUUUCCCUCUUCAUCAUCGGAACCCUAAUUAUCAGUUCUUCCGAUCAAAUCAUACCGGAGUUUUCUUCACGCCGGUAAAAUUCUUCGUCUGUUCUUCCUAACUUUUCGCAUUCGUCAUGGAUUCAGAUAAACCCUCUUCCACCGGUCGAAAGUUUAGAUUUGCUCCAAAACCUCGAUCACAACGAAAGACUAAAGCAGCUACUGCGUCUAAAACAGAAAUGGCUGAUGAUAAUGAUGAUUCCGAAGUCCAGCGACAACAAGUGUUACAGCGUUUUAAUGAACUUAGCACUGAUACAUAUUAUCCCGUCACACUUCCUUGGAGGAAACCAAACUCUGGUGAUCCAGACAUUCUUGACGAGGCCGAAUUUGGGGAAGCCGCAACGGAAUAUGAUGAGAACGCAAUAAAUCCUGCCUCUGAACUUGGAUUGCUGAACCCAGAUGACACAAGUGAGGAAACCAGGCUGAUGUUUCUUCAACUUCCUAAUUCUCUCCCUUCAAUUAAUCGGUCUGCUACUGCUGAGGGGGAACAAAUAGAACAAGGCUAUAGUUUGAAUGAUUUGCCUCCAGGAUACAUGGGGAAGAUGCGUGUUUACAAUAGUGGAGCUGUCAAACUUAAACUAGGAGAAACCCAAUAUGAUGUUUCGCCUGGAUCAACUAUUUCUGAUGUCCAAGAAGUAGUGGCAGUCAAUACUGAAAAGAAGGAAUUCGUAUCUGUUGGGGACCUUGAUAAACGAAUGAUCAUAACCCCUGACGUAGACGACAUCUUGGAUAAGGAGAAAGACCUCGGCUAGACAGAAAAGCAUCUGAUGCCUAUGAAGAACAGCAACAUAUAGACUAUAGAGUACAUCUUGUAAUUUUGUAAGUAUGUAGGACUAAGGAAGGAGUGCAGGUUCCUUACUAAUUCAAAACUUCAAGCAUCAAAUUAUUUUCGAUUGUUCAAAAACUGAAAAUAUUGAUUUUGUCAUUUUAGCAUUACUGAUGCAAUAUGUGUAUACAUAACAUCUACAUAAUAUAGUUUUUGGCUUUUCUGUUAAAAAAAGAAUCACAUUCGAAGUACCGUUUUAGAUUUAACAUAAAUCUUUCAAUUCCUAAUUCCUUAAAGGUGAAUAAUACAAUACGAUAGUACCUAUUUGUAUGCGUUGUUGGUUUAUUUAGUUGGAGUAAUUUUAGGUAUAUAUGUUUUUUUUGAAGGAAGGAAUAUUAGUUUCUAAUAUGCCGGUUAAGUUAGUGAAUCAUGGGAUAUUUAGUUGAGUUAUUAGUGGAAGAUUUAUUUCCUUAUGGAUGUAGCUUAGGUUAUUAUAAAAAAAAGUUGGUUUGUAUU